AUUGAACGCUGGCGGCAGGCCUAACACAUGCAAGUCGAGCGGAGCGGCGGACGGGUGAGUAAUGCCUAGGAAUCUGCCUGGUAGUGGGGGAUAACGUCAGGAAACGGGCGCUAAUACCGCAAAAUAUCAGGUGAGCCGAGGUCGGAUUAGCUAGUGUGUGGGGUAAAGGCCUAGCAAGGCGACGAGCCGUAACUGGUCUGAGAGGAUGAUCAGUCACACUGGAACUGAGACACGGUCCAGACUCCUACGGUAGUCAGCAGUGGGGAAUAUUGGACAAUGGGCGAAACCCUGCUCCAGCCAUGCCGCGUGUGUGAAGAAGGUCUUCGUAUUGUAAAGCACUUUAAGUUGGGAGGCGUUACCAACAGAAUAAGCACCGGCUAACUUCGUGCCAGCAGCCGCGGUAAUUC
rnacentral:rRNA from 1 species